CGAACUCUGUCCCCAACCAAACCCCAAGUGGAGGCCCCUCCUCCCCUCUCACCUCGCCAACACCGGUACCGGCGACACGCCGCCGCUUCCUCCUCCGUUUGCUUCUCUCUCGAGGAUUUCUCAGCACCAGGCAUCUUCAACCAGCCAUGUAUCGAGGACCAAAUCCCAUCAAGGCCACUGGAAUUGGGACAAUGGCAUUGGACAUCCAACUUCCAAGAUCAUAUUGGCAGAAAUUGGUAUUUGGUGGGGAUUGGCCUGAUGCUCCUACAAUUGAUUGGGCCGGUAGAUGUGUCCUCUUCUGCUUCUGCCCUAAAUUGAACAAAUCGUGUAUGUUCAUCUUUGGUAGUGUGAUUUUGGCACUCUUUAUAUUAUGUUC